AUUAGCAGCCAUAUCACCCUGCAGCCCAAGACUGGUUGCCCACUGAAGCUAAGCAGGGUUGAGCCUGGUCAGUACCUGGAUGGGAGACCUCCUGGGAAAACUAGGUUGCUGCUGGAA
rnacentral:rRNA from 1 species